rnacentral:snRNA from 1 species
UUACUUACCUGGACGGGUCGAUGGGCGAUCAGCAAGAACCAUGGCCUAGGCUGAUGACUUUCAUUGCACAAUAUUGGAGGGGUGCUAGCCUAAUUAAGGUUGACCCAAGUGGUCGAGCCUACAUCAUAAUUUGUGGUGGGGGCAUGCGUUCGCGCAGCCCCUAU